GCGAGUUAUGGAGAAAAAGAGGGAAGAACACCCUCUAAACCUAAUCAUAAAUUCAACAAAUUAAUGGAGCAAUUGAUGGUUGAUUUUGUGCAUGUACAUCAAUCUUUCAUCACUUCUACUUGCUAAUCAUAAGGAUAUGAACAAUAUUAGCACGAACUAAAGCAUGGAGAGCUAACAAGUCAAGAUGAGGCAAGGACGUGAAUACGAAUACAGACGCAUAAGGUUACAUGGAUCAUCAUCAUCAUGAGGUGUAAGCGGUUGAAGAUCGAGCUCAAACGUGGAUUGUACGGGAGUAUGGUCGCUUAGUUGAAAAUGUAUGUAACACUUGGAGUAUUUAAUAAGAAGUAAGGAUGUAAUUCAUGUAAAAGAGUCAUACUAAACGGUUUUCAAACAUCUUAGAACGAAUAUAAAGAGAGAAAUUUUAUGGUUCA